CUACGUGCCAGCAGCCGCGGUAAUACGUAGGGUGCGAGCGUUAAUCGGAAUUACUGGGCGUAAAGCGGGCGCAGACGGUUACUUAAGCAGGAUGUGAAAUCCCCGGGCUCAACCUGGGAACUGCGUUCUGAACUGGGUGACUAGAGUGUGUCAGAGGGAGGUAGAAUUCCACGUGUAGCAGUGAAAUGCGUAGAGAUGUGGAGGAAUACCGAUGGCGAAGGCAGCCUCCUGGGAUAACACUGACGUUCAUGCUCGAAAGCGUGGGUAGCAAACAGGAUUAGAUACCCUGGUAGUCCACGCCCUAAACGAUGUCAAUUAGCUGUUGGGCAACUUGAUUGCUUAGUAGCGUAGCUAACGCGUGAAAUUGACCGCCUGGGGAGUACGGUCGCAAGAUUAAAACUCAAAGGAAUUGACGGGGACCCGCACAAGCGGUGGAUGAUGUGGAUUAAUUCGAUGCAACGCGAAGAACCUUACCKGUCUUGACAU
rnacentral:rRNA from 1 species